rnacentral:rRNA from 1 species
AUGGCACGGUGCUCGCGCGCCUGGCUCACGGUGCUUCUUCUCGCGUGUGCCCUUGUGCAGAGCUCCUACGGCUCGAGACCGUCUCCCAGGGAGCACCAGAAGCCCGGGGCCGUGUCUCCGGUGGUUCACGGCGCCGCCGCACCACACCGCCGUGAGGACGGGACGACCGAAGUCCGGCCCUCCACGGAGGAGGGUCCGACUGGUCAUCGUGGAGCAAACGCUGGUGAUGAUGGUGCUGCUGCUGCAACUUCGGCGAUCGGCGGGAGUGGUGCUGUGUCGUCGGAGCAGAGUAAGGGUUCCGGGCCGCCGGUGCUGCAGCAGGCGCUGGGAAGGAUGCUGGGCACAAGGCUGGCGCGGCGGGUCCUGGGAGGGGAGGCGGAGGACUCGGCGGCCGGGCCGUCGUGCCACUCCAACAACGCGCACAUCACCUGUGCCCCGCCGGCGCAACACUGA